rnacentral:lncRNA from 1 species
UCUCUUUCUCUCUUUUUCUUUCCCAGUUUCCAUCGUUGGUUCGUCUCAGUUCGGAACGGAACAGAGACGUGCCUAUCGUACCGCCGGCCGGUCGAUCCGGCCACCGAUACCGAUACAGAAAACUUUGAUUUUGAAGUAGUAGAUCGCAUUCAAUAGCUUGGAGCAUUGAUGUAGGACCUCUAUUAUAAGAUUUUGAUCUGAUCAUAUCUGAGUCCAAAUCGGAUCGAUCUGAUUCUAGCCUGGCUCUCUCUAUGUAUAUAUAUAUAUAUAUAUCCUACAUCUAUGAUCCAAACUAUUGGAUAUAAUCUACUACCUCAAAACUAUUUGCAUACC